rnacentral:rRNA from 1 species
GAUGAACGCUGGCGGCGUGCCUAAUACAUGCAAGUCGAGCGAACAGACGAGGAGCUUGCUCCUCUGACGUUAGCGGCGGACGGGUGAGUAACACGUGGAUAACCUACCUAUAAGACUGGGAUAACUUCGGGAAACCGGAGCUAAUACCGGAUAAUAUAUUGAACCGCAUGGUUCAAUAGUGAAAGACGGUUUUGCUGUCACUUAUAGAUGGAUCCGCGCCGCAUUAGCUAGUUGGUAAGGUAACGGCUUACCAAGGCGACGAUGCGUAGCCGACCUGAGAGGGUGAUUGGCCACACUUGAACUGAGACACGGUCCAAAAUCCUAAGGGAGGCAGCAGUAGGGAAUUUUCCGCAAUGGGCGAAAGCCUGACGGAGCAACGCCGCGUGAGUGAUGAAGGUCUUCGGAUCGUAAAACUCUGUUAUUAGGGAAGAACAAAUGUGUAAGUAACUAUGCACGUCUUGACGGUACCUAAUCAGAAAGCCACGGCUAACUACGUG